CCAUCGGUUACUGUGCAUUCCGCUGCACGGCAUAUGUCAAUACACUUGUCUAAGGUUCGUUCACCUACGAGUGUCAUUGUCCAUUAUGCCUUCCACAAUACGGUCUCUGAUAAUUCCAUCCAAUAAAUGCUCGUACUCACAGUUUCUUGAUAGGUCGCUGACAAACUGGUUGAAUGUCUCGUCCGGUCUUUGUGUACAGUAGUCCUCAAACUUUGGGAUGUUCGGUUUGAUUUACUCUCACUCUCCGUCCACGAAUGUACGCCUUCUCCAAGAACAACCGCCCCACCACGGUGCCCUUCCCCGACAACAACAACGUGUCUUUCGGCGAGGCCACUCCUAUGAGCAGAGCAGGCAACAGAUGGCACACAGACAUCAGAGUUGGGGACAGAUAUGCAGGGACAGACUGGCAGAG